AGUGAUGUAGAUUAUAUAUUUAGUGUAUAUAGGUUUGGAUAUGGGAGAGUUUGGUAUGGAGAAUUUUUUAUUUUUUUAGUGGGCUUUGCCAUUCAUCAUUUAAAUGGCAUUGCAGAUUCCCAAGGGAAGGGAAUUCGUUACAUUAAUAUUUUUGUGUGAGAAAGUGAAUGAAGGAAGGAAAGAGAGAAAUAAAAAGCUUCUGUUUAAUAUUAUAUCGUGGAGUCAUGGAGUGUUAAAGAAGUGGGGUGCCGAAAUUCAAUGGCAGCAUUGAUUUUUGAAUGGAAGCGAAGGAGAUGGCGGGGCCCUGGGCAUUAAGCUUCGCGGAAAAGGAGGCAAAGAAAAAUCAAAAUGGUUUGCAGAAGAAGGGAUAGAAGCUGAACCUCUCAUCUUUGGCCGCAAUUAUUGCCUUGCUUCAACGAGAUGCAUGCAUUUCUUUUGAUGGCAUGGCAUGGCAUGGCAUGGAAGGAAAUAACAUGACUCCCAAAAUGACUUCCGACACAUGUUGAUAUGUUUAUAGAUUUUCAGAGAGUGGUUUGUGUGUCCAUGCUCUAGCUAGGUGCAUGCCACACAAGUGUGUAUGUGUGCUUUUUUGGCGGGAAUUGCCUCUUCUGAUGGCCUCGAUCCACCUUGGCCUAACCAUACCAUAGACUUUGUCCACGUGUGUGGCCGUUACACGCGUGUACACUUUUUUAUUUUUAUUUUUUAUAUUUUUUUUUGUCUGAGAUGGGAAAAUUAAUACCUGUUUCAGGGCCUGAGUUUAGGCUCGACAAUACGAAGGGUCUUUGGGGCCUUUCAAGCGUGUUUGUAUCCGAUUUUGAUCGAUAUAAUAAUCUAAUAAAUUUUUUUGCCCUUUGAUAUUCCUCUCUCCUCUCUUCUGUGCAUGGCAUGUGAUUGACAAUAGUAAUUUUGUAGCUUUCUGAUUUGUUUUAUUACUGUACAGGAACUUUUAAAAAACAGGUAUGGAAUUUAGUGAGGCCACUACCAUGAAGGGCCUAGCAGAUUGAAGCGAUUGAUUGGCCCCGCAAGUAAUAAAAAUAUAUUUCUGUCAUGAAUACGACUCCCUCAUCUUUAGUUACGUG
rnacentral:lncRNA from 1 species